UACGUAGGGGGGCAAGCGUUGUCCGGAAUCAUUGGGCGUAAAGAGCGUGUAGGCGGCCAGAUAAGUCCGCUGUGAAAAUCUCGAGGCUCAACUUCGAGCUGUCGGUGGAAACUGUCUGGCUAGAGUCCGGAAGAGGAGAAUGGAAUUCCUGGUGUAGCGGUGAAAUGCGCAGAUAUCAGGAAGAACACCCGUGGCGAAGGCGACAUCCUGGACCGGUAUUGACGCUGAGGCGCGAAAAGCGUGGGGGAGCAAACGGG
rnacentral:rRNA from 1 species